rnacentral:rRNA from 2 species
CUCAGAUUGAACGCUGGCGGCAGGCCUAACACAUGCAAGUCGAGCGGAUGACGGGAGCUUGCUCCUUGAUUCAGCGGCGGACGGGUGAGUAAUGCCUAGGAAUCUGCCUGGUAGUGGGGGACAACGUUUCGAAAGGAACGCUAAUACCGCAUACGUCCUACGGGAGAAAGCAGGGGACCUUCGGGCCUUGCGCUAUCAGAUGAGCCUAGGUCGGAUUAGCUAGUAGGUGAGGUAAUGGCUCACCUAGGCGACGAUCCGUAACUGGUCUGAGAGGAUGAUCAGUCACACUGGAACUGAGACACGGUCCAGACUCCUACGGGAGGCAGCAGUGGGGAAUAUUGGACAAUGGGCGAAAGCCUGAUCCAGCCAUGCCGCGUGUGUGAAGAAGGUCUUCGGAUUGUAAAGCACUUUAAGUUGGGAGGAAGGGCAGUAAGCUAAUACCUUGCUGUUUUGACGUUACCGACAGAAUAAGCACCGGCUAACUCUGUGCCAGCAGCCGCGGUAAUACGGCAGGGAUGCAAGCGUUAAUCGGAAUUACUGGGCGUAAAGCGCGCGCUAGGCUGGUUCGUUAAGUCUGGAUGUGAAAUCCCCGGGCUCAACCUGGGAACUGCAUUCGAAACUGGCAGAGCUAGAGUAUUGUAGAGGGUGGUGGAAUUUCAGGUGUAGCGGUGAAAUGCGUAGAUAUCUGGAAGGAAUACCGGUGGCGAAGGCGACCCCCUGGACAUGAUACUGACGCUCAUGUCGUCUUAGCGAUAAUGCGUGGGGAGCAAACAGGAUUAGAUACCCUGGUAGUCCACGCCGUAAACGAUGUCGACUUGGAGGUUGUGCCCUUGAGGUUUGGCUUCCGGAGCUAACGCGUUAAGUUGACCGCCUGGGGAGUACGGCCGCAAGGUUAAAACUCAAAUGAAUUGACGGGGGCCCGCACAAGCGGUGGAGCAUGUGGUUUAAUUCGAUGCAACGCGAAGAACCUUACCUACUCUUGACAUCCAGAGAACUUUCCAGAGAUGGAUUGGUGCCUUCGGGAACUCUGACACAGGUGCUGCAUGGCUGUCGUCAGCUCGUGUUGUGAAAUGUUGGGUUAAGUCCCGCAACGAGCGCAACCCUUAUCCUUUGUUGCCAGCGGUUUGGCCGGGAACUCAUAGGAAACUGCCAGUGAUCAACUGGAAGAAAGUGGGGAUGACCUCCAGUCAUCAUGGCCCUUACCAGUAUGGCUACACACGUGCUACAAUGGCGCAUACCAAGAGAAUCGACCUCGCGAGAGCGAGCGGACUUUAUCAAGUGCGUCGUAAUCCGGAUUGGAGUCUGCCACUCUCACUCGAUGAAGUCCGAAUCGCUAGUAAUCGUGGAUUCAGAAUUGCUUCGGUGUGAAUAUCGUUCCCGGGCCUUUGUACACACCCGCCCGGUCACACCAUGGG